GCAUGAUCUAUGUGUGGAAUUGAGAUGAUAGCUUUGGAAGUCACAUAUCGUUUCAACGAUUUUGCAUCCCCUGUACUGACUAAUAGCGAUUUUGUUGGUCCAGAGCCAACAACAGAUCGGUUUGUGGUUGCAAUG